rnacentral:lncRNA from 1 species
UAUUGGGGGUUGGAGAAAAAGCAUCUAGGUCUAAGACCUACUUGAGAGGUGAAAAAGGGUUUGGGUCCCUCUUAUCUGAGAGAAAAGGUUUCUUCUUCCAAGAAGUUCUGACUUUAGGAUUUGACAAAAGGGCCGCAUUAAAAUUAUUAUGGCAGGGUUGACCAGGAGUCUUGGCCUUUAAGAGGUGGUUUGAAUUUGAAAGAAAUAGCCCGAGAUGGUGGGUGAUGUUUGUUUCCCAGAGCUGUUCUCCUGGAUUUGGUCGGAAUGUGUGACCAUGGUCCCGGUCCUUAUGACUUUGCCGGUGUCGCAGCUUGUAGUAGGGGAAGUUUUGUGCAGUAGGCUUGGUCAUGGCCCAAUUUGCCACAACAGGAACAAACAACAUGUCCACCAAAGGGGUAGAAGCUGAGAUGAUUAAGUAUGGUGUGCAUCCAAGCAAAUGGCAGAUGUAUAGAGCACUAACUAAAGCAAGAAAUGAGAUUGAAGGCAAUCACAUUGAAUCGUACGCCAAAUUGCCAAAGUAUGCAGAGCUGAUCAGGAAAUACAACCCACAAAGUAUCUGCAAAAUACAUUAUGAUAGGCCUACUCUUCUUGUUGAGCCUAGAUUUCUCAGAAUGUUUAUUAGUUUCAAAGCUCAAAGAAGUGGAUUUGUUGAAGGCUGUAGACCUUUUGUUGGUUUUGAUGGAUGUUUUUUAAAAGGUGCUUAUGGUGGUGUGCUUCUCACAGCAGUCACAUUAGAUGCUAACAAUAGCAUUUUUCCUAUUGCAUUUGCUGUGGCUGAAGCUGAAAAUAAAGAAACCUGGAGUUGGUUUUUUCAUUACUUUGAGGAGUUUUUUGGGCCAUUUACUUCAGAAAAUGGUUUUCAUGGUCCUCUAACCUUCAUGAGUGACAGGCAAAAGGUGAGCUUCACAACAGGCCUUGAACAUUAUUCUGAUUCUGUUAUGCAUCCAGAUUCUGGAUUAGUUAUGUACUUGUCAAUGAUUCUGUAUUUUUUAGUGUAACUUGUUUGCAUGUUUUGGUGAUCAUUUCAGGGCUUGAAUAUAGCUUAUGAAGAGAGAGUGCCUGUUGCUAGUGGAAGACAUUGCUGUAGGCAUAUCUGCAGUAAUUUUAAAGCUCAAUUUCCUGGUAUUCUGCUUAGUAACUUGUUCUGGAGAGCAGCAAAAAGCUUUGAUGUUGCAGGACAUAAUGAAGCCAUGGCUAGCAUAAAGGAGUUAAACAUAGAAGCAUGGAAAUACUUGGACAAAAUUCCUAAAACAACAUGGUGCAGAUAUACGUUCAAUACUGGACUAAAAUGUGAUCAUGUCACAAAUAACUGCACUGAGUCCUUCAAUGCAUGGAUAGGUGAGCUAAGAGGGAAGCCUAUCUUGACACUUGUUGAUGGGUUGAGGAAGAAGUUCAUGAAGAAAAUGCAUAAGCGAUAUCAGAAAGGGUGCAUGCUCACCACUGCCAUCACACCAAAGAUGCUUGGUAAACUACAAAAAAUAGGACAAGCAUCAAGACAAUGUGAACUCACUAUGGCUUCUACUGAUGUAUUUGAAGUGGGGGAUAUGAACAGGUCCUACAUAGUCAAUUUAUCAGCUAAAACUUGUGAUUGUGGAGCAUUUCAAAUUUCAGGCCUUCCUUGUAAACAUGCUGCACUAGGGAUUAUCUACAAGAGAGAAAAGCUGGAAUCCUACUGUGAGCAUUGGUUCUCAAGAGAUAAAUACUUAAAGACAUAUUCAAGUAUGAUUCAUCCAAUUCCUGAUGAGAAAAUGUGGCCACCUAUGCCAUAUGUUACACCUGUAACAGUCCUACCUCCUCCAUUAAGAAGAGCUCCAGGUAGACCAAAGACUAAAAGGAGAAGGGAACAUGAUGAAGGACAGUCUGCGUCACAACCAAAAAGACUUUGCUGCAUCAAGUGUGGAAACUGUGGCUCUUUUGGUCACAACAAGAGGUCAUGUCAAGGAGCACCUGUCCAGAAUAAGAAGAAUGGCAAUAGAACUACUGGCCAGCAGGUGUUAUAUGUGCUGAAAUUGCUACUGAAUGUGAUUAUUUUAUAUCAAUUCAUUACUUACAAUUAGCUUGUUCCUUAACAACAGAGCUAUAGAAGAGGCAAACCAGGAAGAGGGACUGCAAACACGGGCCUGUCAGGAGCAACUCUUUGGGUAAGAUUUUUUAACUUAUUUAAGCUUCUGAUUGUAACAUUUAUAGCACAUGCCUUGUCGAAACUAAUAUUACUUGUCAAUGUUUACUGCUAGGAUCAUGUCUCUGGCAAUGUUCCAGUUGUAUACUCAAGCCAAGGCAACAAUCAUUCUCCUUCAACUCAACCUGCACCUGCAACUGUGAAUGUGCAUGUGCAGAAUCAGAGCACAGCAACCACUUCAAAGAAAAAGGUGCAAUUGAAUGAGUGCAUUUUAUGAUAUGCUUUAAUAAAAUGCUUGAGUGUAAUGUUCAACACGUGUGAUUGUACAGAGAGGAAGACCUUUAAGCAAUACUGGAGCAUCUGCUAGAGGGAGCAGCAAGAGAAACUACUCAAAUACUACUCAGAUCACUCAAAUUGUGGAACAAGCUGGUCAUCAGCAAAUUGCUACAUUUCAAGUUGCUACACCUGCAUCUGAAUCCAUCAAUGCAGCUACAACACUGCACUCAACAAAUGUUAGCAACAAUAGCAGUUUUAGUAUGCAAUUCUGAUAUUAUCUCUAUAGUUUUGGCAAGUGAAUGCUUACUGCUGAAAGUAUCAAUUCAGUAGUAUGCCAUUAAUUAUGUACAUAACAGAGCUAUUUUGUACUAUACUGUGGCAGUUUUAGACAUGUUUCUGCCUCUCAUGACAUUGCAAUCCUCACCAUCUGUUCUAAGUGAUUUAAUGGUUCAGAUGGUGUUUUGAACUUUUUGUGGAUUGCUCAGUCAUGCUCUGCUAUUACUUGCCUGUUGUGUUUCACUUUUGUAGUACUUCAAAUUACUGAAUUCUGAUCAGACUUGUUGUAUUAAUGCAUUAAUCUUGUAAUACAAGUAUGCUUCUGUGACUGUUUUGUUUUGUAUUGUUGGUAACAAGUGAUUUUGUAUUGAUGACAGUAGAUAUAAACAGAACUCUGGCUUGCAUUUAUAUUGUAAACUACAAACGCUGCUGCAUACAUGAUGAAGGGAACUUGUUCCUCUCCUAUGUCUUACAUAUAAAUUCGAACUGCAGCUAUAUCUACUUCAUCACUAAUGUACAUUUCUGGAUAGCAUCAGCCUAUUGACUUCACAAUAUGGAUGAAAACAUAAACAGCAACAAGUAUGAGAUUGAUGAUGAAAAGUAUAGCCACUGCACUUGUCAGAACAAUUGGCAUUUCCCUUCUAACAGCCAUAGACCUUUGUUGCUGUAGGUGAGAUUGUAGCACUGAAUUGGUGUCAUAGUUUCUACUGUUAACCUCUUCUUCUUCUGGACCCUCAUACCACUGGAAGUACUUGCAUUUUGCACAAAAAAAGUAGGGUAAACAACAAAAAAGCCCCCUGUGGUUAAGCAAUCAUACAUAAAAGCCCCCUGUGGUUUCAUAUCAUACCAGUCGAUACCCCGUGGUUUGAAUUAACCUGAAAAGUGGACGGAAAUCGGCAAAACAGACGGAGCUGAGUGAAUAGACGAAAAUACCCUUUUGAAGAACGCAGCUUGCAUGUAAAUUUUUUUUUUUUUUAAGUAAUUUGUUAAAUAGCCUGCCUGAAACCCGCUUGCGGGUUUCCCCCUUAUGUAAAAUGACUAAAAGCUGCGUUUCUGUUCUAUUUAUAUCAAACACAUACUCUCAAACCCUCACCUGAAGGGUGAGGAUGAGAGGGGAGGUUUGCUGGGCAUCCUAGGGCCCUCCGAUGGGCAUGUGCAACUCAACGCAGCUUGCAUGUAAAAAAAAUUUUUUUUUUUAAAGUAAUUUGUUAAAUAGCCUGAAACCCGCUUGCGGGUUUCCCUCUUUUUUUUUUUAUAAAAUAAAUUCUAUGCUAAAAUGACUUAAAACAAAAAUAAAAGACUAAAAGUAAAUAAAAACUAGCAUGAAAAAUAAAAAUAACAGUAAAUAAAAAUACACUAAAAAUUUGGUGUCUACAGUAGUUAAUGAAUAAUCUGGAAACAGAUUGAAUGAAGACUCAGAAGAAACGGAAGCUGGUCUCUUAUUAUUAAAGAGUGAAGGCUAAAAUAGGCAUAUCAGGUGAAAGUUUGUGGUGGAAAUCUGUUUUUCGCAUAUGCACGCGCCUUUGCAGUUCGUUUAAGACACACGCCGAAUAUUUGACGAUUUCCGUCCACUUUUCAGGUUAAUUCAAACCACGGGGUAUCGACUGGUAUGAUAUGAAACCAUAAGGGGUUUUUAUGUAUGAUUGCCUAACCACAGGGGGCUUUUUUGUUGUUUACCCAAAAAAGUAUAAUUUGUUGGGGUUGUUUUCAGACUCAGAAAUCUUCAAUGUUGCCUUUCUAUUGCACCAGCAAUAUUUGUUUUGUAUUGUGAAGGAUGUAGGAGAGUUCCAUGAUGUUCUCCUGUGGCUGGAAGAAGCCAUUUUCUGAUUUCUGCAAUAUGACUUGAAACUGCCAAACUGAGUAUCAAGCAAGCUGUGUUUUGAGCUGGAAAAUUGCUGAUGCAUACAUGAGUCCAGAUUCUGGUAUUCAUUUUGCUACUGACCAUCGUUUAUAAGCUAGUGCCUUAGUUACAUCAAUUAGCCGUUAAGUAGCCGUUGGUUUCUCAGCAAAUGAAGUUGUUGCAGGUCAUCAUCUGGAAGCAUGUUGUUGCAUUUAUACCCCCUGAACUUCCUUGUGCUUAAUGAAAAAGCCCCUCCCUUGUUAAUACUACUUGUCAACCAACAUCAGGGCAAAUUUGGAACAAAUUUUUUAUCUCACUUGUACAGCUAAUUUUUUAAUGGGAAUUGAAGCUGCCUGGACUGAUUUUGCAACUUAAUGUUCCUGUUGAGGGGUGCUAUCUGCCAUUUCAGAACUUAGAGGGGAGCUCAGUGCAACUGUCAGUAGUUUCAGGGGAGGUUUCUGCAAUUUUCCCUAGAUUUAUUGGGGGUUGGAGAAAAAGCAUCUAGGUCUAAGACCUACUUGAGAGGUGAAAAAGGGUUUGGGUCCCUCUUAUCUGAGAGAAAAGGUUUCUUCUUCCAAGAAGUUCUGACUUUAGGAUUUGACAAAAGGGCCGCAUUAAAAUUAUUAUGGCAGGGUUGACCAGGAGUCUUGGCCUUUAAGAGGUGGUUUGAAUUUGAAAGAAAUAGCCCGAGAUGGUGGGUGAUGUUUGUUUCCCAGAGCUGUUCUCCUGGAUUUGGUCGGAAUGUGUGACCAUGGUCCCGGUCCUUAUGACUUUGCCGGUGUCGCAGCUUGUAGUAGGGGAAGUUUUGUGCAGUAGGCUUGGUCAUGGCCCAAUUUGCCACAACAGGAACAAAAGGAUAAGCUUUCUACUAGAAUCGGUUGGAUGUAACUAUCCAACACAAUGGUU